rnacentral:rRNA from 1 species
GACGAACGCUGGCGGCGUGCUUAACACAUGCAGGUCGAACGGAAAGGCCCUGCUUUUGUGGGGUGCUCGAGUGGCGAACGGGUGAGUAACACGUGAGUAACCUGCCCCUGACCUUGGGAUAACUUCAGGAAACUGGGGCUAAUACCGGAUAGGAGCUCCUGCUGCAUGGUGGGGGUUGGAAAGUUUCGGCGGUUGGGGAUGGACUCGCGGCUUAUCAGCUUGUUGGUGGGGUAGUGGCUUACCAAGGCUUUGACGGGUAGCCGGCCUGAGAGGGUGACCGGCCACAUUGGGACUGAGAUGCGGCACAGACUCCUACGGGAGGCAGCAGUGGGGUAUAUUGCACAAUGGGCGGAAGCCUGAUGCAGCAACGCCGCGUGCGGUAUGACGGCCUUCGGGUUGGAAACCGCUUUCGCCUGUGACGAAGCGUGAGUGACGGUAAUGGGUAAAGAAGCACCGGCUAACUACGUG